rnacentral:rRNA from 1 species
UACGUAGGUGGCGAGCGUUGUCCGGAAUGACUGGGCGUAAAGGGAGCGUAGGUUGCGAUUUAAGUUAGGUGUGAAAGGUCAAGGCUCAACCUUGGAACUGCAUUUAAAACUGGAUUGCUAGAGUACAGGAGGGGUAAGCGGAAUUCCUAGUGUAGCGGUGGAAUGCGUAGAUAUUAGGAAGAACACCGGAGGCGAAGGCGGCUUACUGGACUGCAACUGACACUGAGGCUCGAAAGCGUGGGGAGCAAACAGG